rnacentral:rRNA from 1 species
GAUGAACGCUGGCGGCGUGCCUAAUACAUGCAAGUCGAGCGAACGGACGAGAAGCUUGCUUCUCUGAUGUUAGCGGCGGACGGGUGAGUAACACGUGGAUAACCUACCUAUAAGACUGGGAUAACUUCGGGAAACCGGAGCUAAUACCGGAUAAUAUUUUGAACCGCAUGGUUCAAAAGUGAAAGACGGUCUUGCUGUCACUUAUAGAUGGAUCCGCGCUGCAUUAGCUAGUUGGUAAGGUAACGGCUUACCAAGGCAACGAUGCAUAGCCGACCUGAGAGGGUGAUCGGCCAAACUGGAACUGAGACAGGGCCCAGACUCCUACGGGAGGCCGCAGUGGGGAAUCUUCCGAAAUGGGCGAAAGCCUGACGGAGCAACGCCGCGGGAGGAAUGAAGGUCUUCGGAUCGUAAAACUCUUUUUUUAGGGAAGAAAAUAUGUGUAAGUAACUGUGCACAUUUUGACGGUACCUAAUCAAAAAGCCCCGGCUAACUACGU